GCAGCAGUAGGACUGACUGGAGCCAUUGUACAGUGUCGGGAACACACCAGGACACUGAGAAUAGCGUCAUGUCAUAAAAACUCAGAGCAGAUGGACCCUGCUGUGAUGCACAAAGAGGACUAUGCAAGAUAUGAUAAAGAUCUAUGUCACUGAAUUUUUGGUUCUAUAUUUGUAUCUCAGCUUCCUGGAAAUAAAAAAGAAUUCUAACAUU
rnacentral:lncRNA from 1 species